CUAAUCAGGAAGGAGAGUGGGGAAGUCGGCAAGGGCUGCCGUGCACGUUUUAUAUGAGGAACCCGAGGCCCCAGGAGGUGGUGUGCAGCCCAGCCGCCAGCUGAGGAGGGCAGGGCCCAGGGGCUGAGACGGCUGUGGUGUCGGUCACGGCGAGUCCCAGAUGAAGGGUGGGUAGGAAUGGAAGACAUUAGAAAAGGAUGCUUCUCUUGGCUGAACAAAGAUCAGAAUGAAAGAGGAAUUCAUUAAAAUGACCCCUGUGCAAAGAAAUACACUUGACUUUGAGAUGC